GGGGUAAUAGCGCAGUGGUAGCGCGUCUGCUUUGCAUGUAGAAGGGCCUGGGUUCAAUCCCCAGUUACUCCA